rnacentral:lncRNA from 1 species
AUGCUUUUGGCAAUUGUAGCAUUGAACCAAACGAAUGUAAUUUCUCUACAGGUCUGCCAACCUGGAUGUGAACCCCUGAAAAUACAGCAAGUAAUGCCAUUGGAAUCAGAUCAGGUAAUGGGGUCAAAGAUGUGCCAAGGACAGGACUCAAGAACUGAAAUUCACCAAAUGAUCAGUGACUGACUAAAAUAAACUAGUUCAAUGCAAACAUUGUCUAAUGUCAAGUUUAAUGGCGUACUUAAAACCAGAAAGUCACAGGGCUCUAAACCCCAGUUAAUCAGUGUGAAAGGCUGAAUUGUAAGGUGCUUUCUUGAGUGUCCAGGAAGAACUGCUCAUCCUGCAGAAAGUUACAAUCCUAAGAAGAUAAAACAAGUACAUUUAUCUACAAUAAAGAUUUUGAAACAAUCUGCUUGUUCCAUCUUUACUAGAACAUCUAGGGUAAAUUUCAAAGGUGACUUCUCUUGUAAACUGCUUUGGCCCUCUGAAAUUGGCUCAAACUGUUCAACUUUAAACCGAUUGUAAGCACUUGAUUUGGUUAGUAAUGCAUUAGUUACCUUCUCUGCUGUGUGCCUGAGCAGGGCCAAUCUGGCCUGGAGAUCUGUAGAAUCUGGACUAAAGAAUAGGGGUGAGGGCUGGUGAACAGCCUUGGUGGAAGCCAUCUGAGGUACUGUCAACACUGGUCUGCAGUAUUUAAAAUAUGCUGUUCUGUGUUAAUUCGGUGGGGGGGGGGGGAAAUCUGUAAAAGGCUCAGCCCACCUGUGAAUAUAGGGGCCAUAGAUUGAGGGAAAGGAGUGAUUGGGAGGCUGUGUUUGAGUCUCCAUUUCUCUACGCUGCUCAGUCAUCUUCAUUCUCUCCUGCAGAAGGGGAAAUGGUUAGUUGACACUAACAUUUACAUGAGUCUGGAUAUGAUUUGUACACAAUUCAAAGGCGCUAUAGGAGGACUGGCUGGAAUGGAACCAUUCCAACCAUAAUGUGCCGUUCCUGAUGUGUACCAGCAGAGGCUGGUGGGAGAUUGGCUGGUAUACCCCCCCACUUAUUGACCUGAUGGAGGUGCUGCUCGUGUUGUCUCAGUCUCUCCAUCUGGGAGUGGAUGCUCCUCAGCCUGGUCUGGUGCUCAGUCUCCACCUGUCUGGACUCCUGUAGGGCCUUCUCCCCCUAAUGAUAUUUUUCUGAUGCCAGCUGCAAAUACCGAAGCAGGGCGCCCAGUCACAUUGUGCUACCUAUCGCAUAUACAUUACUGUCAACCCAAUAGCUAGCUAUUAGUGAUGAGGUUGUGGUCCAGACCUUGCUGAAGGCCUCUACCUCCUGGACACGUGUCUUCAGCUGCAGGCCUGUACCACUUAGCCUCUCCUUUUCCCUGUCCAGAGCCUCCCUCUCCCAUGCUACAGCUGCUUUAGCUCCCCAGCACGCAGCUUCAGGUCCACCUGUUCCUGGUGAUUACAGAAGACGGCCUGUUUCAAAGCUCAAUUGCUUGAGAUCAAGUGAGUGAAAUAUGAUUGGGUUAAGUAAACUCCAUUGCCUGAACAUGGUAAAACG